AGCUAGUUGGUGAGGUAUAGGCUUACCAAGGCGACGAUCUGUAGCGGGUCUGAGAGGAUGAUCCGCCACACUGGAACUGAGACACGGUCCAGACUCCUACGGGAGGCAGCAGUGGGGAAUUUUGGACAAUGGGGGCAACCCUGAUCCAGCCAUGCCGCGUGAGUGAAGAAGGCCUUCGGGUUGUAAAGCUCUUUCGGCCGGGAAGAAAUCGCAUGGGCCAAUACCCUGUGUGGAUGACGGUACCGGAAUAAGAAGCACCGGCUAACUACGUGCCAGCAGCCGCGGUAAUACGUAGGGUGCGAGCGUUAAUCGGAAUUACUGGGCGUAAAGCGUGCGCAGGCGGUUUUGUAAGACAGGCGUGAAAUCCCCGGGCUUAACCUGGGAACUGCGUUUGUGACUGCAAGGCUAGAGUACGGCAGAGGGGGGUGGAAUUCCACGUGUAGCAGUGAAAUGCGUAGAGAUGUGGAGGAACACCAAUGGCGAAGGCAGCCCCCUGGGUCGAUACUGACGCUCAUGCACGAAAGCGUGGGUAGCAAACAGGAUUAGAUACCCUGGUAGUCCACGCCCUAAACUAUGUCAACUAGGUGUUGGGUGGGUAAAACCAUUUAGUACCGUAGCUAACGCGUGAAGUUGACCGCCUGGGGAGUACGGCCGCAAGGUUAAAACUCAAAGGAAUUGACGGGGACCCGCACAAGCGGUGGAUGAUGUGGAUUAAUUCGAUGCAACGCGAAAAACCUUACCUACCCUUGACAUGCCAGGAACUUGCCAGAGAUGGCUUGGUGCCCGAAAGGGAGCCUGGACACAGGUGCUGCAUGGCUGUCGUCAGCUCGUGUCGUGAGAUGUUGGGUUAAGUCCCGCAACGAGCGCAACCCUUGUCGUUAAUUGCCAUCAUUUGGUUGGGCACUUUAACGAGACUGCCGGUGACAAACCGGAGGAAGGUGGGGAUGACGUCAAGUCCUCAUGGCCCUUAUGGGUAGGGCUUCACACGUCAUACAAUGGUCGGUACAAAGGGUUGCCAAGCCGCGAGGCGGAGCCAAUCCCAGAAAGCCGAUCGUAGUCCGGAUUGCAGGCUGCAACUCGCCUGCAUGAAGUCGGAAUCGCUAGUAAUCGUGGAUCAGCAUGUCACGGUGAAUACGUUCCCGGGUCUUAUACACACCGCCCGUCACACCAUGGGAGCGGGUUCCGCCAGAAGUAGGUAGCCUAACCGCAAGGGGGGCGCUUACCACGGCGGGGUUCGUGACUGGGGUGAAGUCGAAACAAGGUAGCCGUAGGGGAACCUGCGGCUG
rnacentral:rRNA from 1 species